GCUUGCUCCUUGGGUGACGAGUGGCGGACGGGUGAGUAAUGUCUGGGGAUCUGCCCGAUAGAGGGGGAUAACCACUGGAAACGGUGGCUAAUACCGCAUAACGUCGCAAGACCAAAGAGGGGGACCUUCGGGCCUCUCACUAUCGGAUGAACCCAGAUGGGAUUAGCUAGUAGGCGGGGUAAUGGCCCACCUAGGCGACGAUCCCUAGCUGGUCUGAGAGGAUGACCAGCCACACUGGAACUGAGACACGGUCCAGACUCCUACGGGAGGCAGCAGUGGGGAAUAUUGCACAAUGGGCGCAAGCCUGAUGCAGCCAUGCCGCGUGUAUGAAGAAGGCCUUCGGGUUGUAAAG
rnacentral:rRNA from 1 species